rnacentral:sRNA from 1 species
GCCAGGUGUGGUGGUGCACACCUGCAGUCUCAGCUGCUUGGGAGGCUGAGGCAGGAGGAUUGAAAGUUCCAGGCCAGCCUGGGCAAUCCAGUGAGACUGCCUCAA